GACGAACGCUGGCGGCGUGCUUAACACAUGCAAGUCGAACGGAAAGGCCCUGCUUUUGUGGGGUGCUCGAGUGGCGAACGGGUGAGUAACACGUGAGUAACCUGCCCUUGACUUUGGGAUAACUUCAGGAAACUGGGGCUAAUACCGGAUAUGAGCUCCUGCUGCAUGGUGGGGGUUGGAAAGUUUCGGCGGUUGGGGAUGGACUCGCGGGUUAUCAGCUUGUUGGUGGGGUAGUGGCUUACCAAGGCUUUGACGGGUAGCCGGCCUGAGAGGGUGACCGGCCACAUUGGGACUGAGAUACGGCCCAGACUCCUACGGGAGGCAGCAGUGGGGAAUAUUGCACAAUGGGAGGAAGCCUGAUGCAGCAACGCCGCGUGCGGGAUGACGGCCUUCGGGUUGUAAACCGCUUUCGCCUGUGACGAAGCGUGAGUGACGGUAAUGGGUAAAGAAGCACCGGCUAACUACGUG
rnacentral:rRNA from 1 species